ACCAAUCGAGUCUGGAGCGCAUACAAGUAAAUGAAGCAACCACUAGGAACCCCAAAAGAAAUCAAGGUUUUUAUCAUGCUAGACUAAAAAAAAUAUGUCGAAAAGAAGAAUUUGAAAAAAAAAAUAAACAGAAAAAGAUGAAGAGUCGUUUUUAAAGAAAAAGUUAAAGAGACCUCGAGAAGGCGUUUCAUAACUCAUAGCAAACAUGGAUCUAAAUUGAACCUGAGAGAAGUUGAAAAACUCUUAGAGAUUAAGUGUUUUAGAAGAUUCCCAAGUGACGAGAAAGGCCUUGAAAACCACCAAACCCCUUCAGAAUCUGCGCAAAUGACGCAAGCAACAAGCACAUAGGAGCUGUGAGAGCAUGAUACAGAUCUUAGAUGACCAUUGAAAGCCAUAGAUUAUGGUAGAUUAGGGUGGCG
rnacentral:lncRNA from 1 species